rnacentral:rRNA from 1 species
GACGAACGCUGGCGGCGUGCUCAACACAUGCAAGUCGAACGGAAAGGCCCUGCUUUUGUGGGGUGCUCGAGUGGCGAACGGGUGAGUAACACGUGAGUAACCUGCCCUUGACUUUGGGAUAACUUCAGGAAACUGGGGCUAAUACCGGAUAGGAGCUCCUGCUGCAUGGUGGGGGUUGGAAAGUUUCGGCGGUUGGGGAUGGACUCGCGGCUUAUCAGCUUGUUGGUGGGGUAGUGGCUUACCAAGGCUUUGACGGGUAGCCGGCCUGAGAGGGUGACCGGCCACAUUGGGACUGAGAUACGGCCCGGACUCCUACGGGAGGCAGCAGUGGGGAAUAUUGCACAAUGGGCGGAAGCCUGAUGCAGCAACGCCGCGUGCGGGAUGACGGCCUUCGGGUUGUAAGCCGCUUUCGCCUGUGACGAAGCGUGAGUGACGGUAAUGGGUAAAGAAGCACCGGCUAACUACGUG